GAACGCGAAGAACCUUACCUGGGCUUGACAUACACCGGACCGCAUCUGAAAGGAUGCUUCCCUUCGGGGUCGGUGAACAGGUGCUGCAUGGCUGUCGUCAGCUCGUGCCGUGAGGUGUUGGGUUAAGUCCGGUAACGAGCGCAACCCCUGCCCUUAGUUGCCAUCGGGUAAUGCCGGGAACUCUAAGGGGACUGCCUUGGUUAACGAGGAGGAAGGUGGGGACGACGUCAAGUCAUCACGGCCUUUAUGUCCAGGGCUACACACGUGCUACAAUGGCCGGCACAAAGGGCUGCGAACCCGCGAGGGGGAGCCAAUCCCAAAAAUCCGGCCUCAGUUCGGAUUGCAGUCUGCAACUCUACUGCAUGAAGUUGGAAUCGCUAGUAAUCGCGAAUCAGCAGGUCGCGGUGAAUACGUUCCCGGGUCUUGUACACACCG
rnacentral:rRNA from 1 species